GGAGAGGUGCCCGGAGUGGCUGAUCGGGGACCGUGUGCACCGCGCUGGUCGGGCCUUACGGCCCACGCAGGUUCAAAUCCUGCCCUCUCCGCCA
rnacentral:tRNA from 1 species